CCCCCCCCCCCCGUCGCCAAAAAAAUUUCGGUCAGUGUACCAUUAUAGGGGUAAAAAAAAUUUUUCGGACGCAAAAUUUUGCCGAACGAGUACGUUGCAAACGCUUUCGAGGGACUUUAUCUCAUUUUUUUACGCCAAAAUUCGGUAUUUAGCCCAAGAAAACAGAUAUCUUGUCCUUUGCGCGGAAAUAUUUAACACACAAAAAAGGCGGGGCCCCCACAAAAAUUUUUCAGGGGCCCCCAGCAACUCGGGGCCCNNNNNNNNNNNNNNNNNNNNCUUUGCCCCCCCCCCCCCUCUGGGCGGCACUGACAAAACCAUUACACAAUAUUACAUAUUUUACAUACAGUACAGGCAGGGACUGACCACAGAGAUAAUCUCCAAUAAUGGGGUCCCGAACAAAUGCUAACAAUACAUUU
rnacentral:lncRNA from 1 species